AACGAACGCUGGCGGCAUGCCUAACACAUGCAAGUCGAACGAGACGUUCGGGUCUAGUGGCGCUCGGGGGCGUAACGCGUGGGAAGCUGCCCUUAGGUUCCGUAUCACUCCCCGAAAGGGGUGCUAAUACAACAUAAUCUCUUCGCACCUAAGAUCUAUUGCCUUUGGAUGGGCCCUCGUUGGAUUAGGUGGUUGGUAGUGUAAAAGCCUACCAAGGCGAGGAUCCAUAGCUGGUCGGAGAGGAUGACCAGCUACACUGGGACUGAGACCCGGCCCAGACUCCUACGGGAGGGAGGAGUGGGGAAUAUUGGACGAUGGGCGAAGGCGUGAUCCAGCAAUGUCGCGUGAGUGGUGAUGGCCUUUGGGUUGUGAUUCUCUUUUAGCCGGGAUGAUAAUGACGGUACCGGGAGAAUAAGCUCCGGCUAACUCCGUG
rnacentral:rRNA from 1 species